rnacentral:rRNA from 1 species
GAUGAACGCUAGCUACAGGCUUAACACAUGCAAGUCGAGGGGCAGCAUGAAUAUUGGCUUGCCAAUAUUUGAUGGCGACCGGCGCACGGGUGAGUAACACGUAUCCAACCUUCCGGUUACUCGGGGAUAGGCUUUCGAAAGAAAGAUUAAUACCCGAUGUUGCGUAUCUUUCUCCUGAAAGAUACGCCAAAGGAUUCCGGUAACCGAUGGGGAUGCGUUCCAUUAGGCAGUUGGCGGGGUAACGGCCCACCAAGUCAUUGACGCGUAGCUGUACUGAGAGGUAGAACAGCCACAAUGGGACUGAGACACGGCCCAU